rnacentral:rRNA from 1 species
CCUGGUUGAUCCUACCAAUAGUCAUAUGCUUAUAUCAAAGAUUAAGCCAUGCAUGUGUAAGUAUGAAAACAUUCAGACCGUGAAACUGCGAAUGGCUCAUUAAAUCAGUUAUAGUUUGUUUGAUGGUAUCUACUGCUCGGAUAACCAUAGUAGUUCUAGAGCUAAUACGUGCAACAAACCCCGACUUCUGUAAGGGAUGCAUUUAUUAGAUAAAAGGUCGACGCGGUCUCUGCCCGUUGCUGUGAUGAUUCAUGAUAACUCGAUGGAUCGCACGACCAUCGUGCCUGCGACGCAUCAUUUAAAUUUCUGCCAUAUCAACUUUCGAUGGUAGGAUAGUGGCUUACCAUGGUUGUGACGGGUGACGGAGAAUUAUGGUUUGAUUUUGUAGAGGGAGCCUGAGAAUCGGCUACCACAUCUAAGGAAGACAGCAGGCACGCAAAUUACCCAAUCUUGACACGGGGAGGUAGUGACAAUAAAUAACAAUACCCGGCUCUAUGAGUCUGGUAAUUGGAAUGAGUACAAUCUAAAUCCCUUAACGAGGAUCCAUUGGGGGGCAAGUCUGGUUCCAGCAGCCGCGGUAAUUCCAGCUCCAAUAGCGUAUAUUUAAGUUGUUGCAGUUGAAAAGCUCGUAGUUGGACUUUGGGAUGGGCCGGCCAGUCCGCCUUAGGUGUGCACCGGUCGUCUCAUUCCUUCUGACGGCGAUGCGCUCCUGGCCUUAAUUGGCCGGGUCGUGCCUCCGGUGCUGUUACUUUGAAGAUAUUAGAGUGCUCAAAGCAAGCCUACGCUCUGUAUACAUUAGCAUGGGAUAACAUUAUAGGAUUUCGGUUCUAUUACAUUGGUCUUCGAGAUCGAAGUAAUGAUUAACAGGGACAGUCGGGGGCAUUUGUAUUUCAUAGUCAAAGGUAAAAUUCUUGGAUUUAUGAAAGACAAACAACUGCGAAAGCAUUUUCCAAGGAUGUUUUCAUUAAUCAAGAACGAAAGUUGGGGGCUCAAAGACGAUCAGAUAUUGUCCUAGUCUCAACCAUAAACGAUGCCAACCAGGGAUCGCCGGAUGUUGCUUUUAGGACUCCGCCGGCACCUUAUGAGAAAUCAAAGUUUUUUGGGUUCUGGGGGGAGUAUGGUCGCAAGGCUGAAACUUAAAGGAAUUUGCGGAAGGGCACCACUAGGAGUGGAGCCUGCGACUUAAUUUAACUCAACAUAGGGAAACUUACCAGGUCUAGACGUAGUAAGGAUUGACAGACUGAGAGCUCUUUCUUGAUUCUAUGGGUGGUGGUGCAUGGCCGUUCUUAGUUGGUGGAGCGAUUUAUCUGGUUAAUUCCGUUAACAAACGAGACCUUAGCCUGCUAACUAGCUAUGCUGAGGUAUCCCUUCGUGGCCAGCUUCUUAGAGGGACUACGACCUUUUAGGCCGCGGAAGUUUAAGGCAAUAACAUGUCUGUGAUGCCCUUAGAUGUUCCGGGUCGCACGCACACUACAUUGAUGUAUUCAACGAGUUUAUAGCCUUGGACGACAUGUAAUAUUUGAAAUUUCAUCGUGAUGGGGAUAGAUCAUUGCAAUUGUUGGUAUUUAACGAGAAAUUCCUAGUAAGCGCGAGUCAUCAGCUCGCGUUGACUACUUCCCUUCCCUUUGUACAUACCGCCCGUUGAUCCUACCGAUUGAAUGAUCCGGUGAAAUGUUCGGAUCGCUGCGACGUGGUAGGUUCCCUACCCGCGACGACGCGAUAAGUCCAUUGAACCUUAUCAUUUAGAGGAAGGAGAAGUCGUAAUAAGGUUUCCGUAGGUGAACCUGCGGAAG